GAAAUGCGAUAAGUAAUGUGAAUUGCAGAAUUCCGUGAAUCAUCGAAUCUUUGAACGCACAUUGCGCCCUCUGGUAUUCCGGGGGGCAUGCCUGUCCGAGCGUCAUUGCGAACCCCUCAAGCACGGCUUGUGUGAUGGGCCCUCCCGCGUCUUGGUCGUCAAGACGGGCCCGAAAAGCAGUGGCGGCUUCGCGGUUAUCCGAUCAGCCAGAGCGUAUGGGGACUUUCUCUCUGUCACACGCCCGCGGCGCGGACCGACGCCUGUCGACCUCUAUUCAUCUUUUUCUCGGUUGACCUCGGAUCAGGUAGGGAUGCCCGCUGAACUUAAGC
rnacentral:misc_RNA from 1 species